GGGAAAGUUACUAAUUUUGAAUGCUAUGACUACCUAUGAAGCGCCAGAGUUCGGUCUUGAAAACCGACGAGGGUGAAAGUCCUCCCAGGGUUCGAAUCCCUGUUCCUCCCG
rnacentral:tRNA from 1 species